UACGGUGAAUACGUUCCCGGACCUUGCACACACCGCCCGUCAAGCCAUGGGAGCCGGGUGUACCUAAAGUCGGUAACCGUAAGGAGCCGCCUAGGUAAAACUGGUGACUGGGGCU
rnacentral:rRNA from 1 species